GAGGACCUCUGGCGGCGUGCUUAACACAUGCAAGUCGAACGAAGCACUUUAUUUGAUUUCUUCGGAAUGAAUAUUUUGUGACUGAGUGGCGGACGGGUGAGUAACGCGUGGGUAACCUGCCUUAUACGGGGGGAUAACAGUUGGAAACGACUGCUAAUACCGCAUAAGCGCACAGGGUCGCAUGACCUGGUGUGAAAAACUCCGGUGGUAUGAGAUGGACCCGCGUCUGAUUAGCCAGUUGGUGGGGUAACGGCCUACCAAAGCGACGAUCAGUAGCCGACCUGAGAGGGUGACCGGCCACAUUGGGACUGAGACACGGCCCAAACUCCUACGGGAGGGCAGCAGUGGGGAAUAUUGCACAAUGGGGGAAACCCUGAUGCAGCGACGCCGCGUGAGCGAAGAAGUAUUUCGGUAUGUAAAGCUCUAUCAGCAGGGAAGAAGAAAUGACGGUACCUGACUAAGAAGCACCGGCUAAAUACGUGCCAGCAGCCGCGGUAAUACGUAUGGUGCAAGCGUUAUCCGGAUCUACUGGGUGUAAAGGGAGCGCAGGCGGUACGGCAAGUCUGAUGUGAAAGCCCGGGGCUCAACCCCGGUACUGCAUUGGAAACUGUCGGACUAGAGUGUCGGAGGGGUAAGUGGAAUUCCUAGUGUAGCGGUGAAAUGCGUAGAUAUUAGGAGGAACACCAGUGGCGAAGGCGGCUUACUGGACGAUUACUGACGCUGAGGCUCGAAAGCGUGGGGA
rnacentral:rRNA from 1 species